CGCGGGAUGGUGAAACGGUAUCACGCGGGUUUCCUAGGCCCGAAUUGAAAGUCCAAUUCUUUCUCCCGCAACCA
rnacentral:tRNA from 1 species